GAUGAACGCUAGCGGCAGGCCUAAUACAUGCAAGUCGAACGGUUCCGGCACUUGUGUCGGGAUAGUGGCGCACGGGUGCGUAACGCGUACACAACAUACCCUUUACUGGGGGAUAGCGGUGGGAAACUGCCAGUAAUACCCCAUGUCGUUAAGUUUUGGCAUCAGGGUUUAACGAAAGUUACGGUGGUAAAGGAUUGGUGUGCGUCCGAUUAGCUAGUUGGCGGGGUAACGGCCCACCAAGGCGACGAUCGGUAGGGGGUGUGAGAGCAUGGCCCCCCACACGGGUACUGAGACACGGACCCGACUCCUACGGGAGGCAGCAGUAAGGAAUAUUGGACAAUGGACGGAAGUCUGAUCCAGCCAUGCCGCGUGAAGGAAGAAGGCGCUCAGCGUUGUAAACUUCUUUUGGAUGGGAAUAAUAAUGUCGACGUGUUCGGCACUUGAAGGUACCAUCAGAAUAAGCACCGGCUAACUCCGUG
rnacentral:rRNA from 1 species